AGUUGUCAGUGCUUAGCUAUAGUGAUCUAUUGAGAUUAGAUAAUUGCAUUUUUAAAAAAUGAAAAUAUUUUUAGAGAAUAAAGAAAGCGCCAGAACUGUCAAGGCAAUAACUUUUGUGUUUGUUUCUCUUUAUUACUACUGGCCGACUCAGAUUAAGUCUGAGGCCGGUAACAUCAACAGUGAGGACAAACCCAGCCUGCCUCUCUCCUUCCAAACUGAGUCCAAUCCUUCAGUCACUGGAUCCUGAUUGUGACAGUGGAGCCCAGUUUGCACUGCAGGAUCCAGAGAUGGCAUCAGUGAAGCUGGAAGACUGCAGUCUAACACUGGAGCUGAAUGUCAACAUUAAAGAUGAAGAAGAGGAGGAGAAGAUUGGGGAAUCUGUUUCUCAUGUGAGGACAAAUCCAGCCUGCCUCUCUCCUUCCACACUGAGUCCAAAUCUUCAGUCACUGGGUCCUGAUUGUGACAGUGGAGCCCAGUUUGCACUGCAGGAUCCAGAGAUGGCAUCAGUGAAGCUGGAAGACUGCAGUCAAACACUGGAGCUGAAUGUCAACAUUAAAGAUGAAGAAGAGGAGGAGAAGAUUGGUAAAUCUGUUAAUCAUGGUAAAAGCAGGUUCAAUCUCUUCUGUAAUUCUGACAUCACACAUCCCUGCCAAACUCCAGACUGCACAGCAAUGGUUGUUUUGUAA
rnacentral:lncRNA from 1 species